rnacentral:ncRNA from 2 species
CCGGCUGAGGAGCGCUGCAGCGGUUUAACCGUCAGGCUCAGCCGGAUGUCCCCCUGAAACGUGAACACGGCGCUCAUCCAGA